ensembl:lncRNA
GACAACUGCUCGGCCUCCGACCGCAAGGCACUACAGAAGGUCAUGUUGGGGUGUUGGACACAGUGAAGAGGCAUAGAGGAUGCAGACAGUGUCUUUAAGCUGUCUCACUCAAACUGACUGCUGAAUACAACGUAAGCUAUUCCCACUGAUGCAAGUCCAGCAAAUAGUACAGAGAGAUCCUUGAUGAAAACCUGCUCCAGAGCAUUCAGGACCUUAGACUGGGGCGAAUGUUCACCUUCCAACAGGACAACGACCAUAAGCACACAGCCAAGACAACUCAGGAGUGGCUCUGAGUCUCAAGUCUCUGAAUGUCCUUGAGCGGCCCAGCCAGAGCCCAGACUUUAACCCGAUCGAACAUCUCUGGAGAGACCUGAAAAUACCUGUGCAGCGACGCUCCCCAUCCAACCAGACAGAGCAUGAGAGGUUCUGCAGAGAAGAAUGGGAGAAACUCCCCAAAUAGAGGUGUGCCAAGCUUGUAGAGUCAUACCCAAGAAGAUUCGAUGCUGUAAUCACAGCCAACAAAGUACUGAGUAAAGAGUCUGAAUACUUAAAUGUGAUAUUGCAUUUUUAAUUUUUUUUUUAUAAAUU